rnacentral:lncRNA from 1 species
UAUGCAGCUCAUUAGAAACUGUUUUUAAUCUAUGGCGGUAAAUUUGGAAUGUGAUGGAUCUGGAAGAACAAUGCAGUCAUCUGAACUUGUCUUUCAAGUAGGCGAAGGGUCUCAGUGAAAUGCUUUGAUAAGGUGUCUAUGAGUAAAACUUUGUUCGUUUGCUGGGAAUUAGAGUUCUGAAUCUCUGCCUACCGCAGUUGAAGUGUUUUGGAAUCCGAGAGUGCCGAUGCCGAUUCACAUAGCCCAAUCGUGAUAAGGAUGCCUUGAAACAUGCUGAUAUAUCCUGCUAGUGAGAGGCUCACCUUGUUACCUAAACA